rnacentral:rRNA from 1 species
UACGAAGGGGGCUAGCGUUGUUCGGAAUCAUUGGGCGUAAAGGGCGCGUAGGCGGCUUUAUAAGUCGGGGGUGAAAGCCUGUGGCUCAACCACAGAAUUGCCUUCGAUACUGUAGAGCUUGAGACCGGAAGAGGUAAGUGGAACUGCGAGUGUAGAGGUGAAAUUCGUAGAUAUUCGCAAGAACACCAGUGGCGAAGGCGGCUUACUGGUCCGGUUCUGACGCUGAGGCGCGAAAGCGUGGGGAGCAAACAGG